rnacentral:rRNA from 1 species
UACGUAGGGGGCGAGCGUUACUCGGAAUUACUGGGCGUAAAGCGUGCGUAGGCGGUUUUCCAAGUCCGUUGUGAAAGCCCCGGGCUCAACCUGGGAAUGGCAGUGGAAACUAGGGGACUGGAAUCUGGCAGAGGGGGGUGGAAUGCCGCGUGUAGCAGUGAAAUGCGUAGAGAUGCGGCGGAACACCGAUGGCGAAGGCAGCCCCCUGGGCUGAGAUUGACGCUCAGGCACGAAAGCGUGGGGAGCAAACAGG